UACGAAGGGGGCUAGCGUUGCUCGGAAUCACUGGGCGUAAAGGGUGCGUAGGCGGGUCUUUAAGCCAGGGGUGAAAUCCUGGAGCUCAACUCCAGAACUGCCUUUGAUACUGGCGAUCUUGAGUCCGGGAGAGGUGAGUGGAACUGCGAGUGUAGAGGUGAAAUUCGUAGAUAUUCGCAAGAACACCAGUGGCGAAGGCGGCUCACUGGCCCGGUACUGACGCUGAGGUGCGAAAGCGUGGGGAGCAAACAGG
rnacentral:rRNA from 1 species